GCCAGCCCGCUCAGAAACUCAAAUGAAUUGACGGGGCCCGCACAAGCAGCGGAGCGUGUGGUUUAAUUCGAUGAUACGCGAAGAACCUCACCCAGGUUUGACAUGCACGUGGUACUGAUCCGAAAGGUGAUGGACCCUUCGGGGAGCGUGCACAGGUGUUGCAUGGCCGUCGUCAGCUCGUGCCGUGAGGUGUUGGGUUAAGUCCCGCAACGAGCGCAACCCCUGUCGCCAGUUGUAUUUUUCUGGCGAGACUGCCGAGAAAACCUCGGAGGAAGGAGGGGGCGAUGUCAGGUCAGCGUGGCCCUUACGCCUGGGGCUACACACACGCUACAAUGGGCAGUACAACGGGUCGCGAAGCCGCGAGGUGGAGCUAAUCCCAUCAAAGCUGUCCUCAGUUCGGAUUGCAGGCUGAAACCCGCCUGCAUGAAGCCGGAGUUGCUAGUAACCGCAGGUCAGCAUUACUGCGGUGAAUACGUUCCCGGGCCUU
rnacentral:rRNA from 1 species